rnacentral:rRNA from 1 species
AGUGAACGCUGGCGGUAGGCCUAACACAUGCCAGUCGAACGGCAGCACAGUAAGAGCUUGCUCUUACGGGUGGCGAGUGGCGGACGGGUGGGGAAUACAUCGGAAUCUACUUUUUCGUGGGGGAUAACGUAGGGAAACUUACGCUAAUACCGCAUACGACCUACGGGUGAAAGCAGGGGAUCUUCGGACCUUGCGCGAUUGAAUGAGCCGAUGUCGGAUUAGCUAGUUGGCGGGGUAAAGGCCCACCAAGGCGACGAUCCGUAGCUGGUCUGAGAGGCUGAUCAGCCACACUGGAACUGAGAGACGGUCCAGACUCCUACGGGAGGCAGCAGUGGGGAAUAUUGGACGAUGGGCGCAGGCCUGAUCCAGCCAUACCGCGUGGGUGAAGAAGGCCUUCGGGUUGUAAAGCCCUUUUGUUGGGAAAGAAAAGCAGCAGGUUAAUACCCCGCUGUUCUGACGGUACCCAAAGAAUAAGCACCGGCUAACUUCGUG